rnacentral:rRNA from 1 species
GAACGCGUCUUGGUUAUUGAUGUUAGAUGCUUGCAUUUAACUGAUUUAACAUUGAGACGAGUGGCGAACUGGUGAGUAACACGUGGGUAACCUGCCCUUGAAGUAGGGGAUAACACUUGGAAACAGGUGCUAAUACCGUAUAACAACCAAAACCACCUGGUUUUGGUUUAAAAGAUGGCUUCGGCUAUCACUUUAGGAUGGACCCGCGGCGUAUUAGCUUGUUGGUAAGGUAACGGCCUACCAAGGCAAUGAUACGUAGCCGACCUGAGAGGGUAAUCGGCCACAUUGGGACUGAGACACGGCCCAAACUCCUACGGGAGGCAGCAGUAGGGAAUCUUCCACAAUGGACGAAAGUCUGAUGGAGCAACGCCGCGUGAGUGAUGAAGGGUUUCGGCUCGUAAAACUCUGUUGUUGGAGAAGAACAGGUGUGAGAGUAACUGUUCACAUCUUGACGGUAUCCAACCAGAAAGCCACGGCUAACUACGUGCCAGCAGCCGCGGUAAUACGUAGGUGGCAAGCGUUGUCCGGAUUUAUUGGGCGUAAAGCGAGCGCAGGCGGUUUCUUAGGUCUGAUGUGAAAGCCUUCGGCUUAACCGGAGAAGUGCAUCGGAAACCAGGAGACUUGAGUGCAGAAGAGGACAGUGGAACUCCAUGUGUAGCGGUGAAAUGCGUAGAUAUAUGGAAGAACACCAGUGGCGAAGGCGGCUGUCUGGUCUGUAACUGACGCUGAGGCUCGAAAGCAUGGGUAGCGAACAGGAUUAGAUACCCUGGUAGUCCAUGCCGUAAACGAUGAGUGCUAAGUGUUGGAGGGUUUCCGCCCUUCAGUGCUGCAGCUAACGCAUUAAGCACUCCGCCUGGGGAGUACG